AUCUCUUCCACUUUAUCUUCCUUUCCCUUUUCCAAAAACAAAAACGAAUUCUACCCCCUUUCAACUACGCUCCCACGUUUUUCCAAAGCUCAACCGCUUCGGUUUCUUAAAACAAAAAAAAAACAUCAUAAUUUGUCUCUCCCCGGUUUCCCAUAAUUUAAUUUGCAUCUGCUACAAUGGUGUGUGGUAUGUUAAUCCUAUCAAUGUUCUAUCCAGUCUCUUCGGAAUAUUUCUCUGCCCCUGGUAACAAUCACAAGAAGCUUACAGAAAUGAAGCAGCAAAUUGUCGAGACCAAUUUGUGCUUGACAAUGGCAUUUUUUUCUUAAACCCAUAAGUUUAGAUUUACUUGAUUUUAUUUGUUUGCGUAAUCUAGUUUACAUGGUUUGAAUGCAACAAUCAGUUUGUUCCUUUCUUUUUACUUUUGUUUCUUUCCAUUUGGUUUCUUUGCAAGUGUCUUUGCAGUGAAGUCUGCAGACCUGAAAGAAAUUUGUGCAUAGCGAGGUAACAGUUGUAGAGGAGUGUAGAGAGGAGAGGUUAGUGGCUAUCUUAAGAGGACGGGUCACGUACUAUCCUACAUAUCUAACUUCUCUUUGUAAUACGUAGCAUGAUCAUUUUUAUCUUCAAGUAUAUCUAUAUCAGAUGGAAUCAGAUGGAAAUGUAUUUUUAAUUUCUUUCAUACCUUGAUAUGAAAAUGAUUAUUUUUGUUGA